AUAAAAUUUUACCCUUCCACCCCCCCCCUUUUUUUUCUUAAAAACAAUUAUCCCCAAAACCCAAAAAGUAUUAUAAAAGAAAAAUGAAAUAACAUGAAAAAUAAAACUAAAAAAGGAGAAACUCUCGUACCUUUUGUAUUAUGGUUCAACAAGAUUUAAAGAAAAAACCUUCAAACCCCGAAAUUUGAGGAGCUAACCUCUUCUUCUUAUAGAGAAACCAACCACUGUUGCAAGAGUGGUCAAAAAGAAUUGGUUAGAAGUAAAAUGCUCAACGAAUCAAAAAAUAGCUGGUUUUUAAAGAAAAAAGUCCAAGCUUUUUCCCUAAAACACAAACCCCCAGGAGAAAAGAAAAGAGGAGACAAGUCCGCUUUUCAAAAAGGAAACAACCAAAAAUAAAGGAAAAGAAAUAAAGAAAAAACCCUUAGUAGACCUAAAAGCGGCCACCCAAAAAGAAAGCGUUACAGCUCUAACAAUCAUUCUAAAAAUAACAUCCUAAAACUAAACCUUAUUACUAAAGUAUUUAAAAACCUACAAUGUUGAAACUAGUAAACCCUCCCUUACCAAAGAUAACAACUUAAACUUUUUUAAACACCCCUCCCACCAAGAAAAUAAAAAAGUACUAUCAACACAGACGGUAUAACAAACACAGAGAUAAAAAAGAAAAAAGGAACUAGGCAAACCCAGAAGAGGACUGUUUACCAAAAACAUAGCUCCUUGCAAACCCAUAAGGAGUAACGCCUGCCCAGUGGAAAAAUCUAAACGGCCGCGGUACCUUGACCGUGCAAAGGUAGCAUAAUCACUUGUCUUUUAAAUGAGGACCCGUAUGAAUGGCAAAACAUCUUCUAACUGUCUCUUUUCUUACCCUUCUAAACUUCUAACAAUGUGAAGAAGCAUUGAUAAUAAAGAAAGACGAGAAGACCCUGUCGAGCUUCAACUUCCAAAAGAAUCACCUAACUUUUUCAUAAAAAUUAACACAAUCUCUAAAGAAGUUUUGGUUGGGGCAACCAUGGAGAACAUCAAUCCUCCAGAACAACAAAAUAAAGAUCGUAAAUCAUAUUUUCCUUAAACUCUAAAUAAAGAACCAGACCCACUGGAAAACAGAAAAAGUUACCGCAGGGAUAACAGCGUCAUCUCCUUCAAGAGUCCAUAUUGACAAGGAGGAUUGCGACCUCGAUGUUGGAUUAGGGCCACCAAAGGGUGCAGCAGCUCUUAAGGUUGGACUGUUCGUCCAUUAAACCCCUACAUGAUCUGAGUUCAGACCGACGAAAGUCAGGUCAGCUUCUAUCUUCUUAAACCCCUUCCCAGUACGAAAGGACCGAAAGCAAACUUCCAAUAAUUUACAUCAAGAAGUAACAAAAUACCCAUUACCCUUCACCAUCACA
rnacentral:rRNA from 1 species